CACCUACAGAGAGGCAAGUAGAACUCCUUGUUCCUUUCCUAAAGAUCUGCAAUAACAGAUUAAUAAUAGCCUCAGCCUGUGAAUCCUGUUUCUGUAUCUGAUUGACUCAGGAGUCUCCUUUGAUAACCACAUGCCUGCAGAUGGUACUGUUCUGAGAAGAUCAUCAGCCUUAUCUGAGGACCUGCACUCUGGUCCUCAUACAGCAGAGACAGCCCUUUCCACUCUGGAGGUAAGACUGGGAAAAUUUGAGUCCAGAGCCCUCUGCUGCCUCUGGGCCCACUGCCUGUCCAAACACACCUGCAGGAGGAAAGAAGGACCUUGUUACAAACAAGAGAAGAAGAGAUCAAAGCAGCUGCAUCAUCUCAUUAACCUUCACCCCCAGAGAAGAUGGCAAGGAAAACUUAGAAACAAACAAAAUCAAGCCACUCUUCCUGCCUUCAGUGGAGCUUCAAACCAGAGGAUGUUACCUGGAACACACUGGAGAGUCAUAACCUUGGAGUCGUCCUAAGUUGCUUCAGUCAUGUCCAACUCUUUGCAAACCUGUGGAAUGCAGCCCUCUGUCGGUGGGAUUCUCCAGGCAAGAAUACUGCAGUGAGCGGUCAUCUCCUUCUGCAGGGGAUCUUCCAGACCCAGGGAGUGAACCCGCAUCUCUUAUGUCUCCUCCACUGGCAGGCAAUUUACCUCUAACACCACCUGGGAAACCCCAAUUUUGCAACAGUUGAUAUAAAAAAUUGCAAUUGAAUUUGAAAUCCAGUUGCAUUAUCAAGGCAUUUUAAUUUUUUUUAGAAAGAACCCCCUUUUAUAAUGUGAACACUUUUUUAAAGUCUUUAUUAGAUUUGUUACAGUAUUGCUUCAUUCUGCUAUGUUUGUUUGUUUGGUUUGGCUGCGAGGCAUGUGGGAUCUUAGUUCCCCAACCAGGGAUGAAACCUGCAUGCCCUGCCUUGGAAGGCAAAGUCUUAGCCACUGGGCUGCCAGGGAAGUGCCAUUAUCAAGGGAUUUUUCAACCUAACAUUUGUCAGUGAAAGAAAAAAAAAGCUAUUUGAUUCUUCAAGUAUCCUGCGUGAAUUGUUAUUAUGUAUUUUAAAAUUUUAUUCCCAACCUUGAGAGUAAUGGCUUUUGUCCAUGAUGGCUAUCAAAAUGUAAAGAGAUCAUCAUUUAAAAUCUUGAUCACAAUUGCAUGUAACUAUUUCAUGCAGAAAACUUGAUUUUUUUUAGAAAAGUAUGUUUAAGGAGGAAAUCUCAAGUUUCUCUUUUAAAAAUGUGAAAAGAUUGUAUGUGGAAGUGUUACACUUUUUCCUAAAAUGAUUAUGAAAUAUUUAAAAAAUUAAUUUUUAACGUAAUUAUGAAACAUAAAAAUAGUUCUUUUUUCACCAAUACCUGUGAAGGUGCCCCAACCCCCCUCCACCUCACCGCAAUGUGCUAAACAAGUACCAUCUAUUUCAGUGUAUGCCAUGAAGGCUCGAGAGGCACAGUAUUAAAGAGAAACUUUUGCGUGAAAAAUACACAAGAAUGUACUUUAUAGCAGGAUUCUUUAUAAUAGAAAACAAACAGAAAACCACCCAAAAGAUCGCUGACCACAGAAUGGAUAAAGGGUGGUGAGCUCAUUC
ensembl:lncRNA